rnacentral:tRNA from 1 species
UCGGAUAUGGUGUAACGGCUAACAUUGCCGCCUCUCACCUGCGGUAGAUCGCGGCAGCUCGGGGUUCGAUUCCCCGUAUCCGAA